CAAGCUGGAAAUCAGGCAGAUCUAUGCCACUUUUUCCACAUUUUGUCUGAUGUAUUAAGGAGAAAAAAUUAAAGGCUGCAAAAACGCCAAUUAAUGAGCUAAACCGCUAAGGUUAGACAACACAACUGUGAAAACUAUACAAAAAGAAGAGCUGCAUUACCUUGGCUACUAUGUGUGCUUUUACUGACAGUGCAGACACAGCAGAGAGGUGUAAAGUCUAACAUAUGAUCUGUUCUAAGUGGUUUCACAAAAACCACUUGUAUGUUUUUAAACUGAAAAUUUCAACCAAUGGCUUUUGCGACAUAGUUAGCACUAUGUUUAGACUUUUAGGGGAAAUUUGGAGAAACACUCCCACCUUUCACAAGUGACCUCUUUGACAGAAAUAAGAUUACUGGAGAAGACUGCUUUACUGUAAACAGCUCAGUGUGUAGCAUGUUACAGCACCAACACCACAUAUGCUAGAUAAAGUGACUGUUUGUUCACCACAUCAAUACAACCCAAAUUUAGCUUUACUGAAUUCAGGGCGGACAGAAAAAAAAAAAAAAAAAAAAAAAAACAUUUGGCAGCAUUAAAUCAUACAAUCCUCUGCCAGCGUUUUCAAUUGUGUCUGCAUGUUGCAUCAGACUAAAGGAGAUACAAUUACUCAGCUCAGUUCCCAAAAACAUAUUUUUGCACAGCAGCACACAUUGGUGCAAUGAGGCCAAUGCAGUGCAAUUUAUUUUUGCUUUUAGUCUGUAGUUUUUUGUUUUAUGCCUACAGACAGCUAAAGCCAGUUACAUAGCUUCAUUUCUUUCUGCAAAAAGCCUGAACUCAAUAGUAAGAUGUUUCUCAAAACAUCAUUGGCUAAUUAGUGUUUACACUUUAAACACCCAUGUGCAUUCAGGAUGUAUGCAUAAAACAAUUCAGUUUUUUUUUUUAAACAGCACCUCAUUUUAGAUUCUUCCAAAUAGAGUGGAGAAAUUAAUAUCAUGAUCCAGAACACUAUUAUAUUGCUAGUUUGCUUAGUACAUUUUCUAAGCAAAUACCUGGUUAAAAACAGAUUAGAAAAAAAAAAGUUCUUUAAAGUAAGUGAAAUUACAUUUUGAUUUCUAUGCCUAAUAAGUAUCCAGAUGAAUAAACAAUCUUUACAAAAAAGUAAAAAGAAUAAAUGUUGAUUUAUUUAUGCCAAGCAAAACAGCAUUAUUGUGUAAAUUAGAGAUAUCAAUAGUCUACAUUGAUGCUUUAAUCACUUCUAAAAAGCAGAGCAGGAAAACUUUGGUCAGCAUUGCUCAAUAUUGUGGUCAGCUUUCAUUGCAAAUAAAUCACUUGUAGUCUGAACCUUCACCUAUUUGUAAUGCGAGAGCCUACAAAUAGAAACUCAUGUUGCCAUAGAUCACAUAAUAAGUGAUUUUCAAACCCCUCUUGCAUGUUGAGAUGAAUUAUGUUGGUCAAUCAGUGAGUCUGUAAGUUCAAAAGUCUAGCUUUAUUCUAAGAAAUAAAAAAAGUUGCAUGUAAUAUAGCAAGCUAAAGUCUUUGUUUAUAAUGUGAGAUUAUGAAUAUGUCACUUGUUUCUUACAGUCUUUUUCCAUUUUUUUUUUUGUCUCCUAUCAACAAACUUUACCUAACCUGACCUUUAGGAAAUAGAUUCUCUGGCCAUUGCUCUUAGUAUGAUUGGAAAGUUUGCUGUGGCGAUUGCCUUUGGCCUCAUCUACCUGUACACCUGCGAGCUUUACCCUACUGUCAUCAGGACCCUGGCAGUAGGUAGCGGCAGCAUGAUGUGUCGUGUUGGCAGUAUUGUGGCUCCUUUUUGUGUUUACCUGGUUGAAGUCUGGGUCUAUCUACCUCAGCUCAUUGUAGGAAUCCUGGCAUUCGCAAUUGGAGUGCUUACUUUGCUCUUACCCGAAACCUUGGGCGAACCUCUCCCCACCACUUUGGAAGAGGCUGAAUCUCUUGGAAGCAACCCCAGAAAGAAGAAUUCAAGCCCUGGCAACAAAGAUGCCGGGGAUGGGAUGGAGCUAAACCAACAUGAAGCUAAGGCCUGAGAUUUCACGCUGCUGGGAAACCAGGCCACAGGAGGAAAAGAACUGAAGAAUGAGAGACAAACAAGCCGUCACUGGUUUACUGUACUGGUGGAAAAAAAAAAAAAAAAGCUUUCAUCAAAUCAUUGUAGCUAAGGUUUGUUUUUUUGUGGACAUUUUUGUUUGACCAACAAUUCAGUACAAAAUGGGGCCCUGAGGACUUUACAACUCAACGUCUUCUGCUUAAAUACUGGGUCAAUGUUUGAUCAAUGAAACAGUGUGGAUGUGUGAAUUUUAAGUACAUAUUCUGAGACCACAGGAAAACGAAUAAUACUUAAAGGGUCAGAACAAUUUUAGUAUUAUUUUUGUACUUGACGCUGAUUUUUAAAGACUACAAUGGUUGGACGGAUAGAGAUGCCUGCAGAAUUACAUUUAUUGUAAUUAUUUAAGUUAAAACAAAAUGGACUAAUUGCUGUACAAGUAAGUUAUUUGAGAUAUAGUUUAGCCUGUUUGCACUGUGGAAUGUAUCAUAAUAGGAAAAGUGCCUUUUUUUUAACUAAUUAAUCUCAGGGCAUUCAGACUACUGUGAACAAUUUAAAAGUAUUACAGUUUAACAUCAGUUUGACUCAUUACUUCCUUGGCCUUGAUCCCUCCGACAGGUUUACGAGUUGUACAUGUGGGUAUGUUUUCUAGUUUAAUCUGUUGUUGAGAACUUUGGUUCAGUUUUUCUCAUGCUGGUAUUUCUGUUUGCAAUCUGUAUGCCUGACAUACUCAAGGAUAUGCACGUCAUUACUGUGUUCAGGAGCCAGGAUAUAAUCUCCAGAUGUUUGGACCAAAUCCAGGAACAAACUGCCGUGUUGAGGUGAUGUAUGGCUUCCUAUAGCCGUACAGAGCAUUAGGGAGGUAAAUUAUGAAAUUGAAGCAUUGGUGCUCAGAAGUCAGAUCUACAAACAUCACAAAUGGCUUCAUUGCCAUUGUUUUUAUCGUAAAAGAGAAAUACACCAAGGAUAUAUUCCUCCUCAUGCCUGUCGUCGAUUUGUUGUUCAAUUUUAUUUAUGUUUCUGCUUUGGGGAACAUAUUUUACAAUGGUAUCGAGAAGAGAAAAAUAAAUCUAAAUAAAGACUGUUUUGUAAAUACCACAUCCACAGCUUAUUUCAAUGUCUUCUGCUAGAACAAAAAAGAAGUAAAGAGACACAGCUAUUUGGUGAAAUAAUUAGUUUAUACUCUUUUGUGAUCAUCUCACCUACUGUGUCUCCUGUUUGUUGCAGCAGACGAAGUUCAACUGCAGCAGUAGCGGAAAGGUCACUCUCUCUGCACCACCUUUCACAUGAAGUAAAUCUUUGUAUUCAGCCUCCGAGUGGAAAACUGCACAUGGAUCACCUGAAAAGUCCGUACCAGUGCUUACAUUUGUGUGGAUGGAAAAAUUUAAAGACGUCUGCUACAGUUGGGGCUUAAAUGCUAACCGCUCCUUCUGUCCACUGAUGGAAAUUAACGCAGCAUACAGAAAUUACACUGUACUGGAACAGGAAACGGAAAAAGCAUAAAAACAAGAAAAUGUUAAAUUCCACUAGCCACGCGCAUUCCUUAUUACUGCCGGUUCUGUGGAAUCAGGAAAUCGCCAAAAAAGAACCUGACGGACAACAUGAAACAGGCAAAAAAUAUCUUCAACAGCAACACAUCAUUCCCUGAUCUAAAUAAACUGAAGAACAGUGGGUUGGGACAACACUUUUCUUUCUCCCCUUUAAGGCCUAUCCCAUCAAGCAAGCUGUUUCAAUCUUUUAUAUCAGACUCCAUAUUCAGACUGUGACAGAAAUUGUGUGCCUUUUCAUUAACAGCUUCGGAUCUUUCCCUCAAAUCUGAUAUUUUUUUUUUAUCUUCACAGCAUUUUACAGGUUCAACACUUUUUUUUUCUUUAACACUGGAUCUGACUCAUAGAACAGUAUUAUCUGUUUAUACAUUAAACUCACAGUCAUAAAAGGUCCCUUCAUAAAGUCUAAAGCAUCGGUAUAAAAGGAUGUCUACUGAAAAAAAAAAAGAUGUUUUAAGAAAGAAAAUAACAGGAAGUGGCAUUAUGGUAUAAGUUCUUCCUUCUUUGUGGAAAAGAGACCUGUAUAGAGCUUUGAUAAAAUGAGAUAAGGCGGAGCAAUCAGAGCAGGAUAGCCACAACAACAAAAAAAAAUCAUGUUUGCAAAAAUAUAUCCUUAGCAGAAAAAAAAAAGCUGCAAAUUCAAAGGGCAUUUAUCUCAAAGGCCUUAAAUGAUGAAACAAAUUUAUUACGAACCAGUUUUCCCCUGUAGACACAUUGAAAUGGCAUGUACAGUCUCAUCACUUUGAGAGACAUGAUACACACUAAACACUGUUUUCCUUCCUGAGAAUUUUAUCUUGAAUGCAAAUGAUUACAAAAUAAUAAAUUAAAUCGAUAUGAAAUAAAACACUUAAAACAUAAAUGCAACAAUACCAAGAGGACAGGUGAUGGGAGUUAUGAGGAGUAGGUUAAGUCUGUAGUUGACAUGUUAGCUUAUGGCUAUGUGGAUUUUAUACUACUUCUACCAGUAGCUAUUGCAAAAUGAUAAAAAAAAAAUAAAAAUAAAAAAAAGUUACUGUGAGCUGACUUAAACAGAUAACUCAAGUUCAGAUUUUUUAUUUUUAUUUUUUUAAUGUGGCUCUUUUCAAAGAUCCUAAGCAGUUAACAGCCUUUGGUGGGUGUCUUUAUUUACUAUAAACAAAAUAGUUAGUAUAAGAGCUGAAGCACCAAUAAUAUUUACCUGUGUGAAACAUCUGUCACAACCUUAUAGAAAAAUAAAGUUUGCAAAUCAGACAUUUUAAUUGAUUUGCAUUACAUUUUCUUUCAUGCAUGUUGUCUGGAAAUGUGACCAUCUCUGAUCUAAGUACUUGUUUGAUACAGGAACAUUAUUGGUGAUGCAACAUCUCUGAGCUUCAUUAAAUCGACUCCUCUGUAAAUAACAAAAGCCAAGCAAACCUAAAGAAAGUUGAAGGUUUCUCAGGUGAUCUAAAAAUUCAGUUGAGAUUUCAGUUGCCGUAAAAUCCUUUGGUGCCUGACCAGUUCUGCUUAGCCAUUAGCCUUUGCCUGUAGUAACAGGAAAUCCAGAAAACGCUAAAUUAAGAUAUAUAGAGAGUUUUUACUGUGGGUGAGAUAUUAACUGCUUAUAAUCUUUUAAAGAACGCCACUUUAAGAAUUCAGUACUCUCUAAAACACAAAAGAGCACACAAACACUUCCAUGCCUUGCAAGCAAAUAUCAUUCACCACUACAUAACCGAGUCAAAAUAAAAGGCAAAAUGUUAUCCAGUUUUGAUCAAAUCCCUCAUUUUGCUGCAGAUGUUCACAAAGCAUUAUUUCACACACACA